rnacentral:rRNA from 1 species
CCUACGGGAGACAGCAGUGAGGAAUAUUGGUCAAUGGACGAGAGUCUGAACCAGCCAAGUAGCGUGAAGGAUGACUGCCCUAUGGGUUGUAAACUUCUUUUAUAUGGGAAUAAAACGUUCCACGUGUGGGAUUUUGUAUGUACCAUAUGAAUAAGGAUCGGCUAACUCCGUGCCAGCAGCCGCGGUAAUACGGAGGAUCCGAGCGUUAUCCGGAUUUAUUGGGUUUAAAGGGAGCGUAGGUGGAUUGUUAAGUCAGUUGUGAAAGUUUGCGGCUCAACCGUAAAAUUGCAGUUGAAACUGGCAGUCUUGAGUACAGUAGAGGUGGGCGGAAUUCGUGGUGUAGCGGUGAAAUGCUUAGAUAUCACGAAGAACUACGAUUGCGAAGGCAGUUCACUGGACUGCAACUGACACUGAGGCUCGAAAGUGUGGGUAUCAAACAGGAUUAGAUACCCGUGUAGUC